GUGCGUGAGAAGAGAAGGGGCGUGAGUUAAUUUGUGCAUGGAGAGUUUACACGAGAAACAUUUUCUCGUAUAAAAUAUCGGGCGCACAAGAUAAGACCAUGGCGCAUGGAUUAGUUGGUUGCUCAUUCAAAUUCAAACUUUCUUUUAAAUUUGAAUGGCCAACCAACUUAUUUUUAUCCAGAUAUUUGGCGCACAAGGGUGGGCAUGGGAUGGCUUCUGCGUGGAGAAAAUUCAUGAGAAGUUGCUUCUCG
rnacentral:lncRNA from 1 species